AGACAGCUAGGAUGUUGGCUUGGAAGCAGCCAUUCAUUCAAAGAGUGCGUAACAGCUCACUGGUCGAGCGACAGGGCAUCGAUAAUAAUCGGGCAUCAAACAUAGUACCGAAGCUUAGGGCAUAUUUAUAUGCGGUAGGGGAGCAUUCUGAUGGCGGCGAAGAUAAGCUGUAAGGCUUGUUGGAGCGAUCAGAAGAGAAAAUGUAGGCAUAAGUAACGAUAAUGCCGGUAAGAAACCGGCACACCGAUAGACUAAGGUUUCCCCGGCAAUGCUAAUCAGCCGGGGGUUAGUCAGGGCCUAAGACAAACCCGAAGGGGGUAGUCGAUGGACAACGGGUUAAUAUUCCCGUACUUGCUUUAACUGCGAUGGGGUGACGGAGUGAUGAAAGGACCGCGCACUGACGGAAUAGUGCGUUAAAGGGUGUAGAUAUUGGGACUGUAGGUAAAUCCGCAGACUUAGUCGAACCUGAUAGUACUGCAAAGCUUCGGCUGAGUAGAUAGUGUCCCUAAGGGCUUCCAAGAAAAACCUCUAAGCUUCAGGUUAUACCAACUCGUACCGCAAACCAACACAGGUAGUCAAGUAGAGAAUACUGAGGUGCUCGAGUGAUUCAUGGCUAAGGAACUAGGCAAAAUGGUCUCGUAACUUCGGGAGAAGAGACGCCAACUUCGGUUGGCCGCAGUAAAUAGGCCCAGGCGACUGUUUAUCAAAAACACAUGGCUUUGCAAAAUCGAAAGAUGAAGUAUAAGGCCUGACACCUGCCCGGUGCUGGAAGGUUAAG
rnacentral:rRNA from 14 species